AUUUCAUGAUUAUUUUAUUAUAAAAUUAUUUAUGGUCCAUGAGCUCUAUAAAUUAUUUAGUAUCUCAUUUAUGCAUGAUUUAAGAAAAUAUAAUUCAAUAAAAUAUGAUUAAGAAUGCUUAUUUUAAGAAAUAUAGAAAAAGACUCUCAGAUAGGUAUGUGUAGCCUCUAAAAGUGAAAAAGAUUGACAUCCAGAGCUAGUAUCUAUAUGACCUUGUCAGUGGACAAUAGUUGUUAGCACAUGAUUCUUCUAGCGGAUAAUAGUAGUUGGCAUAUAAUCUUGCCAG
rnacentral:lncRNA from 1 species